rnacentral:rRNA from 1 species
CCCCAUAUGCCGCGAGGUGAAAUGAAUUUCGCCUGAGGAUGAGCUCGCGUCUGAUUAGCUAGUUGGUGGGGUAAAGGCCUACCAAGGCGACGAUCAGUAGCUGGUCUGAGAGGAUGAUCAGCCACACUGGGACUGAGACACGGCCCAGACUCCUACGGGAGGCAGCAGUGGGGAAUUUUCCGCAAUGGGCGAAAGCCUGACGGAGCAACGCCGCGUGAGGGAUGAAGGCCUCUGGGCUGUAAACCUCUUUUCUCAAGGAAGAAGACCUGACGGUACUUGAGGAAUAAGCCACGGCUAAUUCCGUGCCAGCAGCCGCGGUAAUACGGGAGUGGCAAGCGUUAUCCGGAAUUAUUGGGCGUAAAGCGUCCGCAGGCGGCCCUGUAAGUCUGUCGUUAAAGCGUGGAGCUUAACUCCAUUUAAGCGAUGGAAACUACAGGGCUUGAGUGUGGUAGGGGCAGAGGGAAUUCCCGGUGUA